rnacentral:lncRNA from 1 species
AUGGAACAAACAAGCUUAUCCAUGCCCCUCACCAGGCCCUCAGCAACCGAUGCAGCUGCCAAGGCGGCCGCUACCGGUGACAGGCCUAGCAGCCUGCUCAGGAGGAUUACGCUGAGGAAAAGUCUCUAUUUCCUUCCAAGCACGAAUGUGAGCCUCCCUCCUUUUCAAAGGCUGCCUGGUGGUGGAGAACCCACCGCACCUGUAUUCAUGGACCACCCCACUCAUGUGAGUAUUGCUCUCAUAAGGCCAGGCUCCAAUGAUGUGUGGAUACUCAUGAGUCACAUUAACAGUAACAACCCAGAUUUCACAGGCUCUGAUCACCCCAACACACCGGAGUACGGAAUAGAGGAUUUCAGUCCUCGGCGCCGCCUUCCAAGAAUCUCUGUGGGCCCUGAAGGGCGUCUCACAGGUGCUCACUAG